rnacentral:lncRNA from 1 species
UGACGUAAGGCGUACGCGUGGGAGAAGGCGAGAAACUUGGGAGAUCCAGAAGCAUCGAGACAAGGACGAUCCAAGAAGGCUUGUAAAAUAAGUAAUCCGAUCCGAUUCGGGUUCCCGGAUACAUUGGCUAUCAGGUUUGUAAGUUUUCGCUGCCUAUUAUUUCUAAUAAUUGGUAUCAGAGCCUGCAUGCUUGUUUUCGCCUUUGAUCAUGCUUGUGAUGCGUGUGUUUUAGAUCGAAUGUUUCGUUGAUCAAUUUUUGUCGUAGAUUAGUUCUACGAUUGUUUUCUUUUUCGUUUUCUAUGUGAAAUCGAUAAAAAAAAAGAAA